rnacentral:lncRNA from 1 species
CAUAAACAUCCCUCUUCAGAAUAAGUUCCCUCCUGCCAGCUUGGUUACACCCAGAUUCCAGCUCUUCUCUGGUGACUGUUCUGUGGGCCCCUGAGAGAGUAAUGAAAGCCUGGGAAAUACAGGCCAACCCUAGGCCAUCCUGGCAAGAACAGGAAAGAAGUUUGAAACCAUGGCUUCCCUCCCUGGCAUCAGGAGAGAUGGGUCCCUGUGACCUCUUCUUCAACAGCAGCGGACGGAAGAACAACAGCUGCUGUUCAUAAACAUUGCUUUACACCUCCUGUCAACCAUUGGAAUUUGUCGCUGCUUUGUUUUGAG